CAGUAACGGCGAGUGAAGCGGAAGAGCUCAACUUUGGAAUCGCUCCGGCAGUUGUAGUCUGGAGGUGGCCACCACGAGGUGUUCUAGCAGCAGGCAAGUCCUUUGGAACAAGGCGCCAGCGAGGGUGACAGCCCCGUACCUGCUUUUGCUAGUGCUUCCUGUGGCCACCGACGAGUCGAGUUGUUUGGGAAUGCAGCUCUAAGUGGGUGGUAAAUUCCAUCUAAGGCUAAAUAUUGGCGAGAGACCGAUAGCGAACAAGUACAGUGAUGGAAAGAUGAAAAGCACUUUGAAAAGAGAGUGAAACAGUACGUGAAAUUGUUGAAAGG
rnacentral:rRNA from 1 species